rnacentral:rRNA from 1 species
AUUGAACGCUGGCGGCAGGCCUAACACAUGCAAGUCGAACGAGUGGCGGACGGGUGAGUAAUGUCUGGGAAACUGCCCGAUGGAGGGGGAUAACUACUGGAAACGGUAGCUAAUACCGCAUACCAUCAGAUGUGCCCAUAUCGGAUUAUCUCGUUGGUGGGGUAACGCCUCACAAAGGCGACGAUACCUAGCUGGUCUGAGAGGAUGACCAGCCACACGGGAACUGCGACACGGUCCAGACUCCUACGGGAGGCAGCAGUGGGAAAUAUUGGACAAUGGGCGCAAGCCUGAUGCAGCCAUGCCGCGUGUAUGACGAAGGCCUUCGGGUUGUAAAGUACUGUCGGCGGGGAAGCGUUACCCGCAGAAGAAGCACCGGCUAACUCCGUGCCAGCAGCCGCGGUAAUUC